rnacentral:rRNA from 1 species
UACGUAGGGUGCAAGCGUUAAUCGGAAUUACUGGGCGUAAAGCGUGCGCAGGCUGUUUCGCAAGUCAGAUGUGAAAUCCCCGGGCUUAACCUGGGAACUGCAUUUGAAACUAUGAGACUAGAGUGUGUCAGAGGGGGGUAGAAUUCCACGUGUAGCAGUGAAAUGCGUAGAGAUGUGGAGGAAUACCGAUGGCGAAGGCAGCCCCCUGGGGUAACACUGACGCUCAUGCACGAAAGCGUGGGGAUCAAACAGG